AUGCAAGUCGAGCGGUAAGGCCCUUCGGGGUACACGAGCGGCGAACGGGUGAGUAACACGUGGGUGAUCUGCCUCGCACUCUGGGAUAAGCCUGGGAAACUGGGUCUAAUACCGGAUAUGACCUUACAUCGCAUGGUGUUUGGUGGAAAGAUUUAUCGGUGCGAGAUGGGCCCGCGGCCUAUCAGCUUGUUGGUGGGGUAAUGGCCUACCAAGGCGACGACGGGUAGCCGGCCUGAGAGGGCGACCGGCCACACUGGGACUGAGACACGGCCCAGACUCCUACGGGAGGCAGCAGUGGGGAAUAUUGCACAAUGGGCGAAAGCCUGAUGCAGCGACGCCGCGUGAGGGAUGACGGCCUUCGGGUUGUAAACCUCUUUCGACAGGGACGAAGCGCAAGUGACGGUACCUGUAGAAGAAGCACCGGCCAACUACGUGCCAGCAGCCGCGGUAAUACGUAGGGUGCGAGCGUUGUCCGGAAUUACUGGGCGUAAAGAGCUUGUAGGCGGCUUGUCGCGUCGAUCGUGAAAACUUGGGGCUCAACCCCAAGCUUGCGGUCGAUACGGGCAGGCUUGAGUACUUCAGGGGAGACUGGAAUUCCUGGUGUAGCGGUGAAAUGCGCAGAUAUCAGGAGGAACACCGGUGGCGAAGGCGGGUCUCUGGGAAGUAACUGACGCUGAGAAGCGAAA
rnacentral:rRNA from 1 species